rnacentral:rRNA from 1 species
UAGCUAGUUGGUGAGGUAAAGGCUUACCAAGGCGACGAUCUGUAGCGGGUCUGAGAGGAUGAUCCGCCACACUGGAACUGAGACACGGUCCAGACUCCUACGGGAGGCAGCAGUGGGGAAUUUUGGACAAUGGGGGCAACCCUGAUCCAGCCAUGCCGCGUGAGUGAAGAAGGCCUUCGGGUUGUAAAGCUCUUUCGGCCGGGAAGAAAUCGCAUGGGCCAAUACCCUGUGUGGAUGACGGUACCGGAAUAAGAAGCACCGGCUAACUACGUGCCAGCAGCCGCGGUAAUACGUAGGGUGCGAGCGUUAAUCGGAAUUACUGGGCGUAAAGCGUGCGCAGGCGGUUUUGUAAGACAGGCGUGAAAUCCCCGGGCUUAACCUGGGAACUGCGUUUGUGACUGCAAGGCUAGAGUACGGCAGAGGGGGGUGGGAUUCCACGUGUAGCAGUGAAAUGCGUAGAGAUGUGGAGGAACACCAAUGGCGAAGGCAGCCCCCUGGGUCGAUACUGACGCUCAUGCACGAAAGCGUGGGUAGCAAACAGGAUUAGAUACCCUGGUAGUCCACGCCCUAAACUAUGUCAACUAGGUGUUGGGUGGGUAAAACCAUUUAGUACCGUAGCUAACGCGUGAAGUUGACCGCCUGGGGAGUACGGCCGCAAGGUUAAAACUCAAAGGAAUUGACGGGGACCCGCACAAGCGGUGGAUGAUGUGGAUUAAUUCGAUGCAACGCGAAAAACCUUACCUACCCUUGACAUGCCAGGAACUUGCCAGAGAUGGCUUGGUGCCCGAAAGGGAGCCUGGACACAGGUGCUGCAUGGCUGUCGUCAGCUCGUGUCGUGAGAUGUUGGGUUAAGUCCCGCAACGAGCGCAACCCUUGUCGUUAAUUGCCAUCAUUUAGUUGGGCACUUUAACGAGACUGCCGGUGACAAACCGGAGGAAGGUGGGGAUGACGUCAAGUCCUCAUGGCCCUUAUGGGUAGGGCUUCACACGUCAUACAAUGGUCGGUACAAAGGGUUGCUAAGCCGCGAGGCGGAGCCAAUCCCAGAAAGCCGAUCGUAGUCCGGAUUGCAGGCUGCAACUCGCCUGCAUGAAGUCGGAAUCGCUAGUAAUCGUGGAUCAGCAUGUCACGGUGAAUACGUUCCCGGGUCUUGUACACACCGCCCGUCACACCAUGGGAGCGGGUUCCGCCAGAAGUAGGUAGCCUAACCGCAAGGGGGGCGCUUACCACGGCGGGGUUCGUGACUGGGGUGAAGUCGUAACAAGGUAGCCGUAGGGGAACCUGCGGCUG